CCUCAGUACUUCACUUUGUACAUAAAGGAGGCCAGAGGGUAGUAAUGAUAGAAACACAGGAAGAAAGAGACCUAUGGAAAGAAAAAAAUUACAGAAUUAAAAGACUAACAACUAUAUGUCCUUGAAGCCACCUAUAAAGCCUUAGAAAAGGCACUGAAGGACUCUGGACCAGUUUACUCAUCUGAAAAAUAGCAUCAUGGUUAAUCAAAGUAACUUUUUCAUAGGAUGUUGAGAAGACUAAAAUAAAUCCUGUUAGCAGGGA